rnacentral:rRNA from 1 species
GACGAACGCUGGCGGCGUGCCUAAUACAUGCAAGUAGAACGCUGAAGAGAGGAGCUUGCUCUUCUUGGAUGAGUUGCGAACGGGUGAGUAACGCGUAGGUAACCUGCCUUGUGGCGGGGGAUAACUAUUGGAAACGAUAGCUAAUACCGCAUAACAAUGGAUGACACAUGUCAUUUAUUUGAAAGGGGCAAUUGCUCCACUACAAGAUGGACCUGCGUUGUAUUAGCUAGUAGGUGAGGUAACGGCUCACCUAGGCGACGAUACAUAGCCGACCUGAGAGGGUGAUCGGCCACACUGGGACUGAGACACGGCCCAGACUCCUACGGGAGGCAGCAGUAGGGAAUCUUCGGCAAUGGGGGCAACCCUGACCGAGCAACGCCGCGUGAGUGAAGAAGGUUUUCGGAUCGUAAAGCUCUGUUGUAAGUCAAGAACGAGUGUGAGAGUGGAAAGUUCACACUGUGACGGUAGCUGACCAGAAAGGGACGGCUAACUACGUG